UGGCUCCGGUGUCGAUGCACGCUUUGAUUGACGUGUCUUCGUUUAAGGGACUCUGACCACAAACUGUGGGAGCUCUUUCGUACUUGUAGUCGAUAAAGCACCCAACAACGACUCUCCAUGCGAAAAUUCACGCAUUAAAACCCCACGGUUUCUCUAAACUCGAAUUUUAAACAUUCGACUUCAUCCGAGUGCAGCACGCCUAGCGUCAAACCGAGAAAACAUACGUUUAUAUAGAAUAUCCACCCCGGCCCACCAUCAAGAUGACGUCAACACGGGGGCCACUCGCAACACCCACAAUUGGCUCAAACGCGUCACGUGGUCACGCAAUAUCUGUCAAUUUCCUUCGUGAAAUGGCAUUUCUACGUUAAUAUGUUUUUGUUACAGAGCCUCAAGAAGAAAAAUAUACCCUGCAUUUAUCACCUGCAACAGUUUCUACGAUUUUCUUUUCAAUCUGUACACGGCGUUCGAUAUAUGCUUCCGUAUCCGGUCAGCUGUAAUGGAUGCCGUAUGCCGAGCUAUCUAACUGCGAACUUGUGUGACUCCCGGUUCAUCCUCUUUGUUCGGGUCAUUGGGUUGGUGUUGGAGUUGGUCACCAUAUUCUGAACGUUUCACCUAUCGUUGCGGUGUACUGUUCUUGAUCUGCUGCGAAGCGACGAACCGCAACGGCAGUCACUCGCCUCAGCGAACUUCUGUCUGCUGCAUCUCAAAGGAGCAUGGGGACCUGAUGAUACCUUCAACUAAAAAAACCAAAUGUGCUCUCGUGUGGUCCUGACGGAAAAGUAGUAUCAACAAGAACCCUCCACUUUUUCGACCAAGUUAUCGUUAUGAGAUCCUUCUGAUGGCUUCUUACUAGGCUAUGCCGCUCCGAAGCAUUGAGAUGACGAAGCGUCGUGGUAGCUGCACCUCUGCCUUCGAAAGAUGAAUCAGUCAUUCCACACUGUGCUUAGUGGCUUUGUAUAGAGUCUGGCAAAUCCGACAGACUUGGACUGCCUUUUUCAAGAAAGUUUGAAAUAGCAUCCCUUAUGCACCUGCAUUUCAAUUCCAAUCUGUAUUACAAGAAUGACAGACCACUCAACAGAGAUGAACAUCUGAAAGUGAAAGAGCUGGAAUGAAGAUACGUUAAUCUGUGUCAAAGGUUCUUAGUAUGUGUGCGAGUCGAGGACAUAGGUCUCAAGCUUAUUCCUGUCUCCAGAAGAGGUGACAACUAUGCUCCUUCUAUCUAUUAACCAGCUCCACUUUUUAGGGUUCCCUGUAAACUAAUGGAGCACAUCAUGUACUACCACGUUGUCAACCAAGUUGACUCUGUCAAUUUCUUUUUUUAAAUUCCAGCAUGGCUAACGUAAAACUAACGUAGUGGAAUUCGUUCACAGCAUUUCAAACUGUCUUGAUUUCUUGGUCCAUGUAGAUGUAGUAUUCUUUUUAUUUUGUAAGGGCUUUUGACACUGUGCUCUACGCUCGCGUGUUGGCCAAACUAGCCUAAUUAAAAUUUGAUCCUGCUACCUGGAUAUGCAGUUUCUCAACUAACCGUAACUGUGGCGACAACUCGUGAGGAGAACCUAUCAUAUCGCCACCAUGCAGCAUUUGUUAUAUUACAAUCGCUUCACAUUUUAAUCUAGUCAAAAGCAAGGCCUUUUGGUGAUCGGUCUUGUAUAAUUACGUGCCCCUCCGUUAUGUAACACCACACUGGGUUCUUCAACCUAUGAGAGAGAAAUAAAUAUAUUGCCAACUAAAUUGUCUACAAGGCUCGUUAUUCCAUUUCGCCACACUACCACAAGCAAUUGUUAGAGUAGUGGCCCAGGGUAUGAAGCUCGCCACUAAUCAUCAUUCAAACAAAGUUCAUAAUGUAAAAUGCUUUACUCAGAACACUGGCUUAACACAACAAUUAAGAAUAAAGAGAGUAAACGUUUCAUUGCCUAUCCAGGUGGCAUCAUCCCUCCAACAGAGAACAAUCAAAAACAACAUCAAAGGAGUCAAAUCGGUGGUCUGCAUUCCUUUCAUCCAAUGUAUUUCAUACGCUAUUUGGAGGGCACUGUGCCCAUCAGGCAUUUUGACUGUGCAUAUCAAGUUGAGUGCAUAGAAUCUGAUACAACCUACAUUGGCGAGAUAGACAAAAGACGUGGGACAAGACUAAAAGAGCCAGGGCUACUAAUGCUUAC